rnacentral:rRNA from 1 species
GACGUAGGGCGCGAGCGUUGUCCGGAUUUAUUGGGCGUAAAGAGCGUGUAGGCGGCCACUUAAGUCCUGCGUGAAAUCUUGCGGCUCAACCGCAAGCGGUCGUGGGAAACUGGGUGGCUAGAGUGCGGGAGAGGAGAGUGGAAUUCCUGGUGUAGCGGUGGAAUGCGCAGAUAUCAGGAAGAACACCCGUGGCGAAGGCGGCUCUCUGGAACGCAACUGACGCUGAGACGCGAAAGCGUGGGGAGCGAACAGG